rnacentral:rRNA from 1 species
GACGAACGCUGGCGGCGUGCCUAAUACAUGCAAGUCGAACGCAUUUUCUUUCACCGUUUCCUGCUACACCGAAAGAAUAUCAGUGGCGAACGGAAGAGUUACACGUGGGCAACCUGCCCAUCAGCGGGGGAUAACACUUGGAAACAGGUGCUAAUACCGCAUAAUUCCAUUUACCGCUUGUCAGAGGAAUGAAAGGCUCUUUUGUGUCACUGCUGCAUGGUCCCGCGGUGCAUUAGCUAGUUCGCGGGGUAACGGCCUACCAAGGCUGGGAUGCAUAGCCGACCUGAGAGGGUGAGCGGCGUAGCUGGGACUGAGACACGGCCCAGAAUCCUGGGAGAGGCAGCAGUAGGGGAUCUUCGGCAAUAGACGCAAGUCUGAACGAGCAACGCCGCGUGAGUGAAGGAGGUUUUCGGGUCGUGAAACGCUGUUGUUAGAGAAGAACAAGGAUGAGAGUGGAAAAUGCAUCCCUUGACGGUAUCUAACGAGAAAGCCACGGCUAACUACGUG